rnacentral:rRNA from 1 species
UACGGAGGAUGCAAGCGUUAUCCGGAAUGAUUGGCGUAAAGCGUCCGCAGGUGGCUAUGUAAGUCUGCUGUUAAAGAGUCUAGCUCAACUAGAUAAGAGCAGUGGAAACUACAAGGCUAGAGUACGUUCGGGGGCAGAGGGAAUUCCUGGUGUAGCGGUGAAAUGCGUAGAGAUCAGGAAGAACACCAGUGGCAAGGCGCUCUGCUAGGCCGUAACUGACGCUGAGGCACAA